AGGACGAACGCUGGCGGCGUGCCUAACACAUGCAAGUCGAGCGGAAAGGCCUCCUUCGGGAGGUACUCGAGCGGCGAACGGGUGAGUAACACGUGGGCAACCAACCCCUCACAUCGGGAUACCCCGGGGAAACUCGGAUCAAUACCGGAUAAUGCGCGACGCUGUUGGGCGUCGCACCAAAGGUAGCUUCGGCCUCUGGUGAGGGACGGGCCCGCGGCCCAUUAGCUUGUUGGUGGGGUAAUGGCCUACCAAGGCAACGAUGGGUAGCUGGUCUGAGAGGAUGAUCAGCCACACUGGGACUGAGAUACGGCCCAGACUCCUACGGGAGGCAGCAGUGGGGGAAUAUUGCGCAAUGGGCGGAAGCCUGACGCAGCAACGCCGCGUGCGGGAGGAAGGCCUCGGGUCGUAAACCGCUUUCAGGGGGACGAAGCCACCAGGGUUAAUAGCCCAUGGGGUGACGGUACUCCCAGAAGAAGCCCCGGCUAACUACGCGCCAGCAGCCGCGGU
rnacentral:rRNA from 1 species